UACGUAGGUGGCAAGCGUUAUCCGGAAUUAUUGGGCGUAAAGCGCGCGCAGGUGGUUUCUUAAGUCUGAUGUGAAAGCCCACGGCUCAACCGUGGAGGGUCAUUGGAAACUGGGAGACUUGAGUGCAGAAGAGGAAAGUGGAAUUCCAUGUGUAGCGGUGAAAUGCGUAGAGAUAUGGAGGAACACCAGUGGCGAAGGCGACUUUCUGGUCUGUAACUGACACUGAGGCGCGAAAGCUAGGGGAGCAAACAGG
rnacentral:rRNA from 1 species